CAUGGGUGUGGAUCCAUCAUGAAUAAAUUAAUGCCUUUGCUGUUGGUGGGGGCAGGGAGCAUGGUACAGGGGUGACUGAGUUCCUGCUUUGUUAGUUCCCACUGAAACUGAUUGACAAAAAGGGCCUGGCACCUCUCUCUUCUCUCUCUUUCUCUCUCUCACCAUGUGAUCUAUGCAUGCCUGUUCCCGUCUGCUUGCACUAAGAAUGGAAACAGCCUAAGUUCCUCACCAGAAGCAGAGGCUGGCACCAUGUUUGUUAUGCAGCCUGCAGAACCAGAAAUCAUGGGAAAAACUGCCCAUUUCUGUUUUGUCCACUUUGCUUUGGGAAGUGAGAGCUAUAGUCAUUAUCACCACAUCCCCUGGCAUCCAAUUCCGACAAUGAUCUCUGACCUUGCCACUAAGAGUAAAAAAAUGUGCUGAACACCUUUACUGGGAUACUAGUCACUGAUUAAUAAUUCAAUUCCAGCUUUCCUGGAAGCCAGAAGUCAAAAUAUACUUGGGAUUUCUAUAAAUAUUUUUUAAUUAUGACCAUCGAACUCCAAGUACUUCAGAUUUGGAACUCGGACUGCUUUCCUUGCUCCUCAGCCUGCAGAUGGCCUAUUGUGGGACCUUGUGAUUAUGUAGUGAGACGAGCAUGAGUGGAGCAGGAGACGGCUGUCCCCCACCCACAAGGAAUAUCAGAUGAUGGUUCAGCGAUCAUCACAUUGCCUCUCUGAAAGUGAUAAAUUGGCAGCUGGCACCAGGGAGAGGCUAUUUCCUGAUGGCCCACACCUGUUGCACUAAGAUGUUAAUCGAAUGCAGAUUCCAGGGAGAAACAACUUCCUGGGCAUGUGCGUAAGAGACAAAAUGGCAGGUAUGACCUUCUGGGGACACUCCACCAGAAAAGGGAAGAAAACCUCAGAUGGGCAUGCAUAUAACUUCCUAAACACACUGCUCACACUCUCCUCCCAAGGGUAAGGAGGGCACUGCACAUGCAGGCAGCCCAUCCUAAGGGAAGCAUCCUGGGAAAGGGGUCAGUCUAUAUGGUUCUGGGAUCAAGAUUAAACACCACAUUAGACCUUCAAGUUGCCCACUUGGGUCUCUUCUAUGUGUAUUUUUCUUUCCUUUCUUUUCUGCUCUAAAGCUUUUUUAAAUAAACAUACACAUCCCUCCUCUGAAACUUGCCUUGGUCUCUUUUUCUGCCAUAUGCAACUCAGUCAAAUUAUUUCUUCUGAGGAGGAAAAAAUUGAGGUAGCUGCAUUCCCAUACAGAUUCACCAUCGGUAACUCAGAUACCUUCUACUGGCCAUAUGUUUGGUGUUCUAUUCAAGAAAUAAUUGCUAAAGCCAAUGUCUUAAAGUGUUUUUCUUAUGUUUUUCUUCUAAGAGUUUUACAGUUUCAGGUCUUACACUUAAGUAUUUAAUUAAUUUGAGUUGAUUUUAUGCAUGGUGUAGGAUGUGUGUAAUAUUCAGUUUUUCUAACACUAUUUGUUGAAGAGACUAUUCUUUUUCCACUGUGUAUCCUUAGAAGCAUUGCUGAAGUGUUGUUG
rnacentral:lncRNA from 10 species